rnacentral:rRNA from 1 species
UACAGAGGUCUCAAGCGUUAUUCGGAUUCACUGGGCGUAAAGGGUGCGCAGGCGGCCGAGUGUGUGAGGCGUGAAAGCCCGGGGCUUAACCCCGGAAUUGCACCUCAAACUACACGGCUAGAGCAUUGGAGAGGGUAGCAGAAUUCAUGGUGUAGCAGUGAAAUGCGUAGAUAUCAUGAGGAACACCCGUGGCGAAGGCGGCUCUCUGGGACGGUACUGACGCUGAGACGCGAAAGCGUGGGGAGCGAACAGG